GACCAACGCUGGCGGCGUGCGUAACACAUGCAAGUCGGACGCAGCAGGGGGCAACCUCUGGCUGCGUGGCGGACGGGUGAGGAACACGUGAGCAACCUGGCUCUAGGUGGGGGACAACCUGCAGAAAUGCGGGCUAAUCCCGCAUACGGCUCGUGUCGGAGGGGGCACGAGAGAAAGCAGAGAUGCGCCGAGAGAGGGGCUUGCGGCCGAUUAGCUAGUUGGUGUGGUAAGAGCGCACCAAGGCGACGAUCGGUAGCUGGUCUGAGAGGA
rnacentral:rRNA from 1 species